rnacentral:lncRNA from 1 species
AUAACCAAAAGGGUGAAAGAUUGUUAGCUAAAACACCCCAAUGGUGGCCGGCCCUUUGAUGUGUUAGAGAGCUUUUUCUUUUGCCUCUUUGUUGUUUAAACACUUCAAAAAACCCUAAUGAACUUUAUCACUAUAAAGUUCCUUAUAUUAGACAAAAGAAAACCUAGUCAACACUUGACCAAAUAUCUCUCCUUCCCCACAUAAUAUGGCCGGCCCUAUUUGUGUUGUUUGGGCUUUGGGCUUUCAUUUAUUUCAAGUCAUCCAAUGCUUGAAUAAAAGCCCAAUGGGUUUAGGCCCAAUGGGCCCAAUUAAACCCGAACGUUUCUUUAAGCCCAAAACGAUUUUUAUCGCUUUUAUGAUUUCUUUAGACUUU